rnacentral:rRNA from 1 species
GAUGAACGCUAGCGACAGGCUUAACACAUGCAAGUCGAGGGGCAGCACAGGUAGCAAUACCGGGUGGCGACCGGCGCACGGGUGAGUAACACGUAUCCAACCUGCCGAUAACUCGGGGAUAGCCUUUCGAAAGAAAGAUUAAUAUCCGAUGGUAUACUAAAACCGCAUGGUUUUACUAUUAAAGAAUUUCGGUUAUCGAUGGGGAUGCGUUCCAUUAGUUGUUGGCGGGUAACGGCCCACCAAGACUACGAUGGAUAGGGGUUCUGAGAGGAAGGUCCCCCCACAUUGGAACUGAGACACGGUCCAAACUCCUACGGGAGGCAGCAGUGAGGAAUAUUGGUCAAUGGACGAGAGUCUGAACCAGCCAAGUAGCGUGAAGGAUGACUGCCCUAUGGGUU